CCUACGGGUGGCAGCAGUGAGGAAUAUUGGUCAAUGGGCGAGAGCCUGAACCAGCCAAGUCGCGUGAAGGAUGACGGCCCUACGGGUUGUAAACUUCUUUUGUCAGGGAGCAAUUGGGUCCACGCGUGGGCUUAGCGAGAGUACCUGAAGAAAAAGCAGCGGCUAACGCCGUGCCAGCAGCCGCGGUAAUACGGAGGAUGCGUGCGUUAUCCGGAUUUAUUGGGUUUAAAGGGUGACUAGGUGGAACAUCAGGUCGGCGGUAAAAUUUCGGGGCUAAACCCCGUCGUGCCGUUGAAACUGGUGUUCUUGAGUAGGCGAGAAGUAUGCGGAAUGCGUGGUGUAGCGGUGAAAUGCAUAGAUAUCACGCAGAACCCCGAUUGCGAAGGCAGCCUGCCAAGCCAUGACUGACGCUGAUGCACGAAAGCGUGGGGAUCAAACAGGAUUAGAUACCCGUGUAGUC
rnacentral:rRNA from 1 species